GACGAACGCUGGCGGCGUGCCUAAUACAUGCCAGUAGAACGCAGUUGCGAACGGGUGAGUAACGCGUAGGUAACUGCCUCAUACCGGGGGAUAACUAUUGGAAACGAUUGCUAAUACCGCCUACUUUGAGAUGUACCUGCGUUGUAUUAGCUAGUUGGUGAGGUAAAGGCUCACCAAGGCGACGAUACAUAGCCGACCUGAGAGGGUGAUCGGCCACACUGGGACUGAGACACGGCCCAGACUCCUACGGGAGGCAGCAGUGGGGAAUAUUGCACAAUGGGCGCAAGCCUGAUGCAGCCAUGCCGCGUGUAUGAAGAAGGCCUUCGGGUUGUAAAGUACUUUCAGCGAGGAGCGUUACUCGCAGAAGAAGCACCGGCUAACUCCGUGCCAGCAGCCGCGGUAAUAC
rnacentral:rRNA from 1 species